rnacentral:rRNA from 1 species
UACGGGGGGGGGCAAGCGUUGUUCGGAAUUACUGGGCGUAAAGGGCCAGUAGGCGGCCAACUAAGUCGGAUGUGAAAUCCCCAGGCUCAACCUGGGAACUGCAUCCGAUACUGGAUGGCUUGAAUUCGGGAGAGGGAUGCAGAAUUCCAGGUGUAGCGGUGAAAUGCGUAGAUAUCGGGAGGAACACCAGUGGCGAAGGCGACUACCUGGCCUGUUUCUUGACGCUGAGGCGCGAAAGCUAGGGGAGCAAACGGG